UACGAAGGGGGCUAGCGUUGCUCGGAAUCACUGGGCGUAAAGGGUGCGUAGGCGGGUCUUUAAGUCAGAGGUGAAAUCCUGGAGCUCAACUCCAGAACUGCCUUUGAUACUGAGGAUCUUGAGUUCGGAAGAGGUGAGUGGAACUGCGAGUGUAGAGGUGAAAUUCGUAGAUAUCAGGAAGAACACCCGUGGCGAAGGCGGCUCUCUGGGACGGUACUGACGCUGAGACGCGAAAGCGUGGGGAGCGAACAGG
rnacentral:rRNA from 1 species